rnacentral:rRNA from 1 species
CGUACACUCCUGCGGGAGGCAGCAGUGGGGAAUCUUGCGCAAUGGGCGAAAGCCUGACGCAGCCAUGCCGCGUGAAUGAUGAAGGUCUUAGGAUUGUAAAAUUCUUUCACCGGGGACGAUAAUGACGGUACCCGGAGAAGAAGCCCCGGCUAACUUCGUGCCAGCAGCCGCGGUAAUACGAAGGGGGCUAGCGUUGCUCGGAAUUACUGGGCGUAAAGGGAGCGUAGGCGGACAUUUAAGUCAGGGGUGAAAUCCCGGGGCUCAACCUCGGAAUUGCCUUUGAUACUGGGUGUCUUGAGUAUGAGAGAGGUGUGUGGAACUCCGAGUGUAGAGGUGAAAUUCGUAGAUAUUCGGAAGAACACCAGUGGCGAAGGCGACACACUGGCUCAUUACUGACGCUGAGGCUCGAAAGCGUGGGGAGCAAACAGGAUUAGAAACCCGAGUAGUCCCAUGAU